rnacentral:rRNA from 1 species
GAUGAACGCUGGCGGCGUGCCUAAUGCAUGCAAGUCGAGCGAACAGACGAGGAGCUUGCUCCUUUGACGUUAGCGGCGGACGGGUGAGUAACACGUGGGUAACCUACCUAUAAGACUGGGAUAACUUCGGGAAACCGGAGCUAAUACCGGAUAAUAUUUCGAACCGCAUGGUUCGAUAGUGAAAGAUGGCUUUGCUAUCACUUAUAGAUGGACCUGCGCCGUAUUAGCUAGUUGGUAAGGUAACGGCUUACCAAGGCAACGAUACGUAGCCGACCUGAGAGGGUGAUCGGCCACACUGGAACUGAGACACGGUCCAGACUCCUACGGGAGGCAGCAGUAGGGAAUCUUCCGCAAUGGGCGAAAGCCUGACGGAGCAACGCCGCGUGAGUGAUGAAGGUCUUCGGAUCGUAAAACUCUGUUAUUAGGGAAGAACAAACGUGUAAGUAACUGUGCACGUCUUGACGGUACCUAAUCAGAAAGCCACGGCUAACUACGUG